rnacentral:rRNA from 1 species
AGAUUAGCCAUGCAUGUCUAAGUAUAAGCAAUUAUACAGCGAAACUGCGAAUGGCUCAUUAUAUAAGUUAUCGUUUAUUUGAUAGUACCUUACUACUUGGAUAACCGUGGUAAUUCUAGAGCUAAUACAUGCUAAAAAUCCCGACUUCGGAAGGGAUGUAUUUAUUAGAUUAAAAACCAAUGCCCUCUGGGCUCCUUGGUGAUUCAUAAUAACUUUUCGAAUCGCAUGGCCUUGCGCCGGCGAUGGUUCAUUCAAAUUUCUUCCCUAUCAACUUUCGAUGUUUGGGUAUUGGCCAAACAUGGUCGCAACGGGUAACGGAGGGUUAGGGCUCGACCCCGGAGAAGGAGCCUGAGAAACGGCUACUACAUCCAAGGAAGGCAGCAGGCGCGCAAAUUACCCAAUCCCGAUUCGGGGAGGUAGUGACAAUAAAUACUGAUACAGGGCUCUUUUGGGUCUUGUAAUUGGAAUGAGUACAAUUUAAAUCUCUUAACGAGGAACAAUUGGAGGGCAAGUCUGGUGCCAGCAGCCGCGGUAAUUCCAGCUCCAAUAGCGUAUAUUAAAGUUGUUGUGGUUAAAAAGCUCGUAGUUGAACCUUGGGCCUGGCUGGCCGGUCCGCCUCACCGCGUGUACUGGUCCGGCCGGGCCUUUCCCUCUGUGGAACCUCAUGCCCUUCACUGGGCGUGGCGGGGAAACAGGACUUUUACUUUGAAAAAAUUAGAGUGCUCCAGGCAGGCCUAUGCUCGAAUACAUUAGCAUGGAAUAAUGAAAUAGGACGUGUGGUUCUAUUUUGUUGGUUUCUAGGACCGCCGUAAUGAUUAAUAGGGACAGUCGGGGGCAUCAGUAUUCAAUUGUCAGAGGUGAAAUUCUUGGAUUUAUUGAAGACUAACUACUGCGAAAGCAUUUGCCAAGGAUGUUUUCAUUAAUCAGGAACGAAAGUUAGGGGAUCGAAGACGAUCAGAUACCGUCGUAGUCUUAACCAUAAACUAUGCCGACUAGGGAUCGGASGAUGUUAUUUUUUGACGCGUUNGGCACCUUACGAGAAAUCAAAGUGCUUGGGCUCCAGGGGGAGUAUGGUCGCAAGGCUGAAACUUAAAGAAAUUGACGGAAGGGCACCACCAGGGGUGGAGCCUGCGGCUUAAUUUGACUCAACACGGGGAAACUCACCAGGUCCAGACACAAUGAGGAUUGACAGAUUGAGAGCUCUUUCUUGAUUUUGUGGGUGGUGGUGCAUGGCCGUUCUUAGUUGGUGGAGUGAUUUGUCUGCUUAAUUGCGAUAACRAACGAGACCUUAACCUGCUAAAUAGCCCGUAUUGCUUUGGCAGUACGCUGGCUUCUUAGAGGGACUAUCGGCUCAAGCCGAUGGAAGUUUGAGGCAAUAACAGGUCUGUGAUGC